AAAAAAAAAAAAAAAAAGAAAUUCAUUUUAUAUAUUGAAUCAUUAUUUUGUAAGUUGUGAAAUAAGCAAUUGCAGUUUUCAUUAUGAUUUUUCCCCAGUAACCAGGUAUUCUAAUUUUUAAAAAGAGCUAGAGGGCAGGGAUUCAGAAAGAUGACACGCCCUCUGCUUUUCCGGCUUUUGGCAUUGUGUGAGGAUGUAAUGCAUGGAGCUGCUAAUGCAAGCUUGUGAAGAUGAGGGGUGCUAGCGCAUAUGAUGAGGAUGGCAGACCUGAUAGGUGGAAAGAUCUAGGUCAUCCUGACAACAUUAAGCAGCUGAACUCACUGAUCCCAGAGCCUCAGGCCACCCCACCCAGCCCUUACCAUCUCCUGUCCUACUGCCAUGGGAGGUUCUUUCCUGCUGGAUGCGAAACACUCAAUUAUCACUUCCUCAUGUGUGUAGUCUCCCUCACUGAGUCAGCUCUCACUGGGGCCUUCCCAUGACUUGUUUGUUGUCUUUAUCUGUCUGAAGCCUCAUCUUCCUUUGACAUUUAUCUUCAUCUGGAAAUUCUAUAAUCUUCCUUUUCCUCUUGUCUUGAUCUUACAUAAAAUCAACAUUGUCCAUUGAAAGUUAUGUUUAAGAAGCAUUGUUAACAAAACUAUCAUGAAGUCCCUUGUACCUUGUUAAAAACCACUGUAUUCAUAACUUUGUUGUUUUUUUCAAAUAUAUUUUUCUCUGGAUUGAAACUGCUUACCAUUCAGGUCAUUGGAAGUCUCUUCAUUCCCAUUAAACUCUUUUUCAGGUUUGACAUCUUUGUCCUCUAUUAACUCAACUUUGAGUAUCUCCUUUUUAAUCCAACAGAAAAAGCUCCUCCCCUAUCCUUCCAGCCCCAUGACUGUAAGAUAAAAAAUUUCCUGCUACAGGCAUCUUGCAGGCAAUGUGCCAGACAGGCAAUGCAUCAAACAGCCGACAUUGAUCAGAACUCAGCCCUUGUCAUAUAUCUCUUCCUAAAAUGCCUAGCAGAAUAAUUUGUUGAGUACAUGCUCAAUAACUUAAAUUGUUUUGAAUUAAAUCAAAUUAAAGUCUUACAGUCACUACUGGAGGGAGAACAGGCAACAUGUAUGAAUUUUCACUGUUUUGGAGCACAUGGAAAAGAACAUCAAUACUAGUAGCAUCUCAAGAUCCCAGUGGCUAGACCCAGCCUACACACGACAGUCAAAAUUUACUAUUUAUGAUGUGGAUUAUCUCAUACUAGUCCAUUGCUUCACUUUCUACUGACUGACACCUCUGGCACAUUUCAUCCUUUUUCUUCUUUUUCUUUUUUUAGAGACGGGGUCACCCAGGCUGGAGUACAGUGGCAUAAUCAUAGCUCACUGCAGCCUCGCUCAUGAACUCAAGUGAUCCUCCCACCUCAGCUGACCAAAUAGCUGGGACUAGAGGCAUGCCCACCACACCCGGCUAAGCACCUUUGAUUCUAAUAUUGAAAAUAUCAUUAUAAAAUAUCUAGUAGGUAUGGAUUAAUGAAUGAGUUAAAUGGCAGAUGUUUGACCCUAAUAAGUAAAGGUUUCGGGACGCCAGGGAGAUGGUAAUAUCUGGGAUCUUCUUAGGCCUCAUUACCAGGACAUAAAGAAACAAAAUGAAGUUUCUCAAAAUGCCCAUUUAAUACAUUAUUUUUUAUCGUAAUAAACAUACGGCCUUUUCAGAUCUUA
rnacentral:lncRNA from 1 species